UACGUAGGUGGCAAGCGUGGUCCGGAUUUAUUGGGUUUAAAGGGUGCGUAGGUGGUCUAUUAAGUCAGUGCUGAAAUAUCCCGGCUUAACCGGGAGGGUGGCAUUGAUACUGAUGGACUUGAGUGGAGUUGAGGUAGGCGGAAUUGACGGUGUAGCGGUGAAAUGCUUAGAUAUCGUCAAGAACACCGAUAGCGAAGGCAGCUUACUAAGCUCUAACUGACACUGAUGCACGAAAGUGUGGGGAUCAAACAGG
rnacentral:rRNA from 1 species